rnacentral:rRNA from 1 species
GACAGAGGGUGCAAACGUUGUUCGGAAUUACUGGGCGUAAAGCGCGUGUAGGCUGCUCGGAAAGUCGGAUGUGAAAGCCCUGGGCUCAACCCAGGAAGUGCACUCGAAACUCCCGAGCUGGAGUCCCGGAGAGGAAGGCGGAAUUCUCGGUGUAGAGGUGAAAUUCGUAGAUAUCAGGAGGAAUACCGGUGGCGAAGGCGGCCUUCUGGACGGUGACUGACGCUGAGACGCGAAAGCGUGGGGAGCAAACAGG